UACGUAGGUCCCGAGCGUUGUCCGGAUUUAUUGGGCGUAAAGCGAGCGCAGGUGGUUUAUUAAGUCUGGUGUAAAAGGCAGUGGCUCAACCAUUGUAUGCAUUGGAAACUGGUAGACUUGAGUGCAGGAGAGGAGAGUGGAAUUCUAUGUGUAGCGGUGAAAUGCGUAGAUAUAUGGAGGAACACCGGUGGCGAAAGCGGCUCUCUGGCCUGUAGCUGACACUGAGGCUCGAAAGCGUGGGGAGCAAACAGG
rnacentral:rRNA from 1 species